CGCUCUCUUGUUCUAUUUAUCUCUUUGCAGAAAGUUACGACAUAACAUGUCAAAAUGAAACGAAAGCUGGGGCUUCCCUCCGUCCCAAGACUAAAGAAAAACGCUGCCCCAUAUAAAAAAAGAAAAGGAAACAACGGGAAUGGAAAAUAAAAGGACGUAAAACGCCAGAGAAAACAGUAUGUUGAAAACAUAUUAGAAGAUAUUAGGCAGAAAAGUGAGGAAGGUGAAAGCACAUUGCCAGUACCAACAAUUUAAAAUGCAUCAUCUCACUUAGCCUUGUUUGUUAAGAAUAUCAGCAGAGCAGAAACUUGCAGAAACUCAAACUGACCCCCAAAUCACUGGAGUUGAUUUGCCCUUUACAGAGGUACCACCAAGUGGUAACUCAAUUUCUGCAGAACCAAUCACUGCAAUACCAGUAGGCACAUCAACUCCCAAUCAAAGCGAGGAGCUCUUCACCUUGUGAGAGUGAUCAUCAUGCAAACAACUUUGAUAGAACUUUCAAUCCAGACAACACAUAUC